rnacentral:rRNA from 1 species
UUGGAGGGCAAGUCUGGUGCCAGCAGCCGCGGUAAUUCCAGCUCCAAUAGCGUAUAUUAAAGUUGUUGCAGUUAAAAAGCUCGUAGUUGAAUUUCGGGAUUAGUACGUCGGUCGUGCCUUAGGUACGUACUGGUAUUACUGGUUCCUACCUUCUGACGAACCAUCAUGUCAUUAAUUUGGUAUGGUGGGGAAUCAGGACUGUUACUUUGAAAAAAUUAGAGCGUUUAAAGCAGGCUCGCGCUUGAAUACAUUAGCAUGGAAUAAUGAAAUAGGACG